CCAGACUCCUACGGGAGGCAGCAGUGGGGAAUAUUGCACAAUGGGGGAAACCCUGAUGCAGCGACGCCGCGUGAGUGAUGAAGUAUUUCGGUAUGUAAAGCUCUAUCAGCAGGGAAGAUAAUGACGGUACCUGACUAAGAAGCUCCGGCUAAAUACGUGCCAGCAGCCGCGGUAAUACGUAUGGAGCAAGCGUUAUCCGGAUUUACUGGGUGUAAAGGGAGCGUAGACGGUAAUGCAAGUCUGGAGUGAAAGGCGGGGGCCCAACCCCCGGACUGCUCUGGAAACUGUGUAACUGGAGUGCAGGAGAGGCAGGCGGAAUUCCUAGUGUAGCAGUGAAAUGCGUAGAUAUUAGGAGGAACACCAGUGGCGAAGGCGGCCUGCUGGACUGUAACUGACGUUGAGGCUCGAAAGCGUGGGGAGCAAACAGGAUUAGAUACCCCCGUAU
rnacentral:rRNA from 1 species